CUUCCGUGGAGAAGGAGUUCCCUUUCUUUCCUAUGGAGCCUGCUCAUAACACAACGUGGUUGAAUAGAAGUAAGCGGAAUGAAGAGAGUGAGAGUCAGAAUGCGGAUUUAGUUUCUAGGAAGCGUAGGCUAUCGGUUAGUGGAGAUUUAGGAAAUGAUCAAUUUUUCUGGUCACAGGAUUCAACUAACCAUUUUGUUGGUCAAAUGAGAAGACCUGGAACUCCAAUGCAACGAAGCAAUGAAAAGGGGUUGCGUCUGCGCAUUCCUCUGAUGAUGCCUCGUCGAAGCAUUGUUAGGUACACGGCUUGGCCCGGUUGAAUUCUUGGAUGGCUGAAGAGUUCAAUUGAUAUAGUUUGUCAGAUUAGUAACUACAGAGGUUUGAAAAGGAUGAAUUAUUGAGGAGUAGUGUUGUGUCAUAAAAGUGGGGAGUGGUCCUUGAAAGGUAAGGGAUAGGUUGGCAUGUGUGUGUGUGUGUGUUAGAUGUCACCUCAUGUUCCCAAAUGCAACCCAACAUUACAUUUGGCAGAAGAGGUGGUUUUUCACUUUAAUCAAUCACACCUCACCUCAAUUAUUCUUUGCAUGUUUCCUCCAUUUAUUAUUCUGAAUUGGAGUAUUAUAUUUGAGGCCUUUAUUUGUGAAA